CUAAAGCUUAUAGAUCUGCAUGAGAGACAUUAACUGGGACUGUCAUCACCUGUCGAUUGAGAGCAUCCCCAAGCUGGUAACUAUUAAGCUACGCUGAGAUCCCUGCUCAUCUCCAGCCAUGAAGAUCCUUUAUCUGCUCUUCGCUAUUUUCUUUCUGGUGCUCCAGGUUGCACCAGAUUUCUCACAGGCUCAGGAUCUCAGCAAGAGGUGUGUAAAUCUUGGGGGCAUCUGUUACAUUGGGUCAUGCCCUCGUCAUGCGAUACGCAGAGGAAGGUGCAAUCGCGGGAACGUUUGCUGUAAAACAUGGAGACAAGGCUAAUUGUCUAAGCAGAACGUCUUGGAGUCCGGUAGAUAGCUGCUUGCUAGUUAAAUCAUCCGAUCCUGCUUCAAUGGAAGGCUAACGUGCUGUUUAUCGGGACUGUAAAGAACCUUGUCAGCUGGCAAAAUUCCAGAAGAGAGCCUUUGUAUCACCCAUAUAAGAUCUGUUACUCUUCUGUUAAUAAAAGAAAGCUGGUGUGAGAUAA